GUGCCAGCAGCCGCGGUAAUACGGAGGAUCCGAGCGUUAUCCGGAUUUAUUGGGUUUAAAGGGUGCGUAGGUGGCCAGUUAAGUCAGGGGUGAAAGACGGUAGCUCAACUAUCGCAGUGCCUUUGAUACUGACGGGCUUGAAUGAACUAGAGGUAGGCGGAAUGUGACAAGUAGCGGUGAAAUGCAUAGAUAUGUCACAGAACACCAAUUGCGAAGGCAGCUUACUAUGGUUUUAUUGACACUGAGGCACGAAAGCGUGGGGAUCAAACAGGAUUAGAUACCCUGGUAGUCC
rnacentral:rRNA from 1 species